AGGGUUCGAUUCUGGCUCAGGAUGAACGCUGCGACAGGCUUAACACAUGCAAGUCGAGGGCAGCAUAAAAGUAGCAAUACUUGGUGGCGACCGGCGCACGGGUGAGUAACGCGUAUGCAACCUACCUAUCAGAGGGGAAUAACCCGGCGAAAGUCGGACUAAUACCGCAUAAAACAGGGGCACCGCAUGGUGAUAUUUGUUAAAGAAAUUCGCUGAUAGAUGGGCAUGCGUUCCAUUAGGUAGUUGGUGAGGUAACGGCUCACUAAGCCGACGAUGGAUAGGGGAACUGAGAGGUUGGUCCCCCACACUGGUACUGAGACACGGACCAGACUCCUACGGGAGGCAGCAGUGAGGAAUAUUGGUCAAUGGGCGGGAGCCUGAACCAGCCAAAGUCGCGUGAAGGAAGAAGGAUCUAUGGUUCGUAAACUUCUUUUGCAGGGGAAUAAAGUGCAGGACGUGUCCUGUUUUGUACGUACCCUGAGAAUAAGGAUCGGCUAACUCCGUGCCAGCCGCCGC
rnacentral:rRNA from 1 species